rnacentral:rRNA from 1 species
GAGUUUGAUCUUGGCUCAGGAUGAACGCUAGCGGCAGGCCUAAUACAUGCAAGUCGAGGGGCAGCACGGUAGCAAUACUGGUGGCGACCGGCGCACGGGUGCGUAACGCGUAUGCAACUUACCCUUUACAGGGAGAUAGCCCGGAGAAAUUCGGAUUAAUACCCCAUAGUAUAUUUAGAAGGCAUCUUUUAGAUAUUAAAGAUUUAUCGGUAAAGGAUGGGCAUGCGUGUCAUUAGCUAGUUGGUGAGGUAAUGGCUCACCAAGGCGACGAUGACUAGGGGUACUGAGAGGUUACACCCCCACACUGGUACUGAGACACGGACCAGACUCCUACGGGAGGCAGCAGUAAGGAAUAUUGGACAAUGGGCGAGAGCCUGAUCCAGCCAUGCCGCGUGCAGGAUGACGGUCCUAUGGAUUGUAAACUGCUUUUGUAUGGGAAUAAACCCAGGUACGUGUACCUGGCUGAAUGUACCAUAAGAAUAAGGAUCGGCUAACUCCGUGCCAGCCGCCGC